rnacentral:rRNA from 1 species
GAGUUUGAUCCUGGCUCAGGACUAACGCUAACGGUGUGCAUAAUACAUGCAAGUCGGACGUGCAAUGAAAAAGUAGCAAUACUUUUUCAAAGCAAGUGGCGAACGGGUGCGUAACGCGUGGGUAAUCUGCCUUGAAGAUUGGGACAACUCCUCGAAAGAGGGGCUAAUACCAAAUAUUUUAUAUGAACCGCAUGAUUUAUAUAGCAAAGGUAGUCGCAAGGCUUCCACUUUAAGAUGAGCCCGCGUCCUAUUAGCUAGUUGGUAAGGUAACGGCUUACCAAGGCUAUAAUGGGUAGCCGGUCUGAGAGGAUGGUCGGCCACACUGGGACUGAGAUACGGCCCAGACUCCUACGGGAGGCAGCAGUAGGGAAUAUUGCGCAAUGGGCGAAAGCCUGACGCAGCGACACCGUGUGAAGGAUGAAGAUUUUCGGAUUGUAAACUUCUGUCAAUUGGGGACGAAGGUAGUAGGGUUAAUAGCUUUUACUAUUGACGGUACCUAAUAAGGAAGUCUCGGCUUACUCCGUGCCAGCAGCCGCGGUAAGACGGGGGAGGCAAGCGUUGUCCGGAAUUAUUGGGCGUAAAGAGCGCGUAGGUGGUUUGUAAAGUCAUUUGUGAAAACUUUAGGCUUAACUUAAAGACUGCAAGUGAUACUGACAAACUUGAGUACA